rnacentral:lncRNA from 1 species
AUAAAUAAGUUCAAAGGCACGUUUGCGGCCGAGAUAUGCCUUUCUUUCGGUUACAGUACAACCAUACUCCUUAUGGACAGCUGUGAUACACUCUUAAUCUUGAACCUACUGGACACUUCCAAAUAUGAAAUUAAGACAAGAGAAAUCAAGUCGACAUCCAAGUUGAAGUGAUCCUCAUUGUAUGUGUCUAUUUCACAUCUGUGCUCGCUAAUAAAUUUACCCACUUUCCACAUACCUGAUCUCUU